rnacentral:rRNA from 1 species
GGGAAAAAACCAACAGGGAUUGCCCCAGUAACGGCGAGUGAAGCGGCAAGAGCUCAAAUUUUAAAUCUGGGGUCUCCGGCCCCCGAGUUGUAAUUUGGAGAGGCAUCUUCGGGAGGAGCGCUGGCCAAUGUUCCUUGGAACAGGACGUCGCAGAGGGUGAGAAUCCCGUGCCAGGCCAGCCGCGCCCUUCCACGUGAAGCGCCUUCGACGAGUCGAGUUGUUUGGGAAUGCAGCUCCAAGUGGGUGGUAAAUUUCAUCUAAAGCUAAAUACCGGCGAGAGACCGAUAGCGCACAAGUAGAGUGAUCGAAAGAUGAAAAGCACUUUGAAAAUAGAGUCAAAAAGUACGUGAAAUUGUUGAAAGGGAAGCGCUUGAGACCAGACUCGGAGCGAGGCAAACAUCUGGCCCCGCGGGGCCGUGCACUUGCCUCGGGCCGGGCCAGCAUCAGUUGGUGCGGCGGGAGAAAGGCGCGGGGAAUGUGGCUCCCCUCGGGGAGUGUUAUUAGCCCCGUGCUCAAUGCCGCCCGCACCGACUGAGGACCGCGCUUCGGCUAGGAUGCUGGCUUAAUGGCCUUCAGCGACCCGUCUUGAAACACGGACCAAGGAGUCUAACAUCUAUGCGAGUGUUUGGGUGCCAAACCCUUUCGCGGAAUGAAAGUGAACGGAGGUGGGAACCCCUCGCCGGGCGCACCAUCGACCGAUCCUGAUGUCUUCGGAUGGAUUUGAGUAGGA